rnacentral:misc_RNA from 1 species
CGCACCUUGCACCUUUUGGUAUUCCGAAAGGUACAUCUGUUUGAGUGUCAUGAAUACCUCAACCUCUACAUUUCCUUGUGGAAUGCACGAGCGUUGGAUGAUGAGCGUUGCUGAGUAUCCCAGCUCGCUUCAAAUGUAUAAGCAAUCUUGUUAUCGACUGGAUUGACUCGGCGUGAUAAGAUCUUCGUCGAGGAUGCCCCAUGGCAGCCAGCUGGUACACAAGUCGCUACAAACCCAGUAGCAGCUUUGUCUGCCACACCUUCCUUUUAGACCUCAAAUCAGAUGGGACUACCCGCUGAACUUAA